rnacentral:rRNA from 1 species
UACAGAGGUCUCAAGCGUUGUUCGGAUUCAUUGGGCGUAAAGGGUGUGUAGGUGGCGCGCUAAGUCGGGUGUGAAAUUUCGGAGCUUAACUCCGAAACUGCAUUCGAUACUGGCGUGCUUGAGGACUGGAGAGGAGACUGGAAUUCAUGGUGUAGCAGUGAAAUGCGUAGAGAUCAUGAGGAAGACCAGUGGCGAAGGCGGUUCUCUGGGCAUUACCUGACGCUGAGGAGCGAAAGUGUGGGGAGCGAACAGG